GCACCCGUGGCGAAACGGAUAUCGCGUACCCCUCCUAAGGGUAAAUUGCAGGUUCGAUUCCUGCCGGGUGCACCA
rnacentral:tRNA from 1 species